GCUUAGAGAAAUGGCAAUUACAACCUAUUGCAAGGCACCAUGGAGAGAUAGUCUACCCCAUCAUUUUCUCUUCAAUUGGCAUUGAUGUCUUCAUUGAAAAGGAUGGCAUGAUGUUUCUUUUCUUGUUGCUAUGAUGAAAUACCUGCCACACAUGGAAACAACAAAACCAAACCAAACACUUAGGGAGAGAGGGUUGCCUUCCAUCAAGGCAGGGAGAGCAUGGCGGUAGAAUUUGCGGUGGCUGGACACACUUCAUCCACAGUCAGAGGUGGAGGGGGAAGAUACUGAUGCCUAGUUCCCUUCUGUUCUUGACUCUGCCCAGGACUGCAGCCCAUAGAAUGGUACCACCCACAUUUAUUGUGGGUCUUCUCACCCUGGUUAAGCUAAUCUAGAAAAUGCCUCACAGACACACCUAGAUAUUGGUUUCCAUGGUGAUUGUAAGUCCCAUUGGGUUGACAGUAAAGAUUAACCAGCACACAGCAAAGCUAACUUACUAAAGCCCUGAGGGUACAUAAUAGUGUCAUUUCACCAACGAAUUGUCUUAUCUGAGGAAUACUAACUGCUGUGCAGGGUCGAAUCUGUUCAUUUUUAUAUUGUAUUUAUUCCUGGCAUAUCACUUAUAGGUCCAAUUCCACUUAUUCUUUCCUUGUCUCCAUUGUAGGGCCUACUAUUAUGUAAUGUGGCAAUCACUUGUGUGUUAACUGUCCACGCACAAAGCCUUGUAUAUUGUGCCACCGUAUCUAUUUCUGCAGCAUCUCAGGAGUCACACAUUCCCCUUUAAAGGGAUGGUGUGCUGUUGAAAGGUUUCCUCCUGGGGAAUGGAGGAUUCAGGUUCAGGCAGAGCGGGUUGCUGUAACAGCCAGCUUUGCUUACUGAGGCUUUUUUUUUUUUUUUUUUUUUUUUUUUUUUUUUUUUUUUUUUAUGCUGUGGCUAUGGACAUGGUGAACUCACUUAUGGAUGUAAUAGUUCCUAGAGCCAUUUGUGCAGUGGUUCUUUUUUUUUUUUAAUUUUCCUCUCUCUCUUUUUUUUAAUGGAUAUUUUCUUUAUUUACAUUUCAAAUGUUUUCCCCUUUUCAGGUCUUUCCUUCAGAAGCCCCCUAUUCCAUCCCCCUCCUCCUGCCUGUAGGUAGGUACUCCCUCACCCACCCACUCAAUCCUGUUUUCCCGCUCUGGUAUUCCCUUACACGGGGCAUCAAACACCCUCAGGCCCAAGGGCUGCUCCUCCCACUGAUGCCCAACAAGGCCAUCCUCUGCCACAUAUGUGGCCAGAGCUAUGGGUACCUCCAUGUGUAUUCUUCGGUUGGUGGUUUAGUCCCUGGGAGCUUCAGGGGGUCUGACUGGUUGUGCAGAGGUUCUUAGUCCUUGGUUCAGAAUCCCCAUCAGGUUAAACAAUCCUUUCAUAGGAGUUACAUAAGACCAACAGAACACACUUUUUUAUUAGGAUUCAUAACAAUAGCAAAAGUACAGUUAUGUAGUAGAAAUAAAAAUAGUUUUGUGGUUGGAGGGGUCACCAGGGCAUGAGGAACUGAAUUAAAGGGUGGCAGCAUUAGGACAGUUGAGAGCCACUGCAUCUGUGAUAGGCCUUGAAAGGGAGAGGCUGGACCUUGAUGGCUCAUACUCACACCUUCAGUGCACUGUGACCGCCACUGCAUCUGCAAGCUUCAGUUCAUCACUUGAAAACCAGCUAGGAAACUUGGAAUUUUCGAACCUGUGAUGAGCACAUGUCCAAAUGUACACAUUUUGAUAACAGAAAUUAAGCGCAGAAGCGUGAGAAAGCUGUGCUAGUUUGUCUAGGAAGAGAGGCCAGGACAAAAGUUCAAGUCGGCCGAGGGUCCUGAAGCUGUAAACAUUUGUGAAAAUGCCUGGGCAGCACACCCAGCCCUUGCUUCAUAGCAAUUUGAAACAAUAUCAGCGGGGAAGGCUUCCAAAAUAUUCUGUUUAAGUAUAAUUUAUGGCAAUAAACCCAGUGGUUUAUUCUUCCCACAGGGAGCAAGAGGUAAGUAUGAGAGACUCUGACUAGAGAGGAAUUCACAUAGAAAGAACUUGAGUCUACCGAAUAAGAUGGACCAACAAUCCUUGGACAAGUGGUCCAUGGUAUACUGAUCAUUAUGGUAACCACUUAUUACCUCGAGGCCUUUACAUUUAACUUAUGAAGAUAAUAAAUAACUUAGAAGCGCUUCUGUGUGCCAGCCACAUAGGAAUUAACAGUGGCUACAUAUGCUGGGUACCAUGCAGAUGAAGAAAGAUGAAGAGUGCUUGUUAUUUCAGACUGUGCUCUGUGGUGGAUUUUUCUUGAGUUGCAUCAUUCAUCAGUAGAAAAUGAGCCAUUUCUUAUCGAUUAGCAAGUAAGGAGUCACCUAGGUCAUUGAUUAACUUCAACAAGUCAGUCAGUAGACUCUACAGAUAGCAACAACAAGACAACUACUACGGUUUGGACCCUAAAUGUCUCUUGACCCAUGCUCAGAUGCUAAAGAUUUGGUUGGUCACCAGGCUGUGUUGCUCCUGGGGCUGAGGAACCUCUAGGGGCAGAGGAGAAGAAAGCUAAGCCAUUGGGCCAUGUUCUUGAAAGAGAUGUUGGAACUUGAACCUCGUACUCCCUCUUUGCUUUCUGGUGUCCAUAAGACAGACACCUGCCUCUAACACAAACUUCUCCAUAAUGUGUGGCAUGGCCACAGGCCCAAAGUGACAAAGGCUCAAGUCCCUGAAACCAUCAGCUGAAUAAAGACUUUCCUCCUUUCUUGGAUAUGUUGUCCCCAUUACACAAGCUAACAUAACCUGGAUGAGUUCUGGGGAAUUAUUUCUUCUGGCAUGAUUGCUAGCCAUUUUGUAGGGCAUGACAAUGGCAUGGUUGGCCUGCUUGUCCUUUACCUUCAUAUGGGAUGCUCUCUUGACUCUUAUAUGAAGUUUAAAGAUUUGGUUUUCCCCUUUGUCUACUGUAGUUUGGUUUCAUAUGCUGCAACUUUCUUUAGAGAGUCCACACUGACUGUCAGGGUUGGUCUAGAGCUAUACAGACUUCACCGGCAACCCCAGAGGCACAUGCCUUAGACUCUCUUCCUGUAUAAAAGUGCCUGUGUAGAUUUCCUUGUCUGCCUCUAGCUAGGUCUCGCUUUCAGGAAGGAAUGUUCCCUGAGGACCUCUUACACUACAGAGAAGGAUGGCCAGCCAGAGUUGCCAUAAGGUGUGAAAUGGUUGCUAUAUAAAUAUAUAAAAGAGACUUAGAAGAGAUGGAAAGGGGCUGCCACAAGUGUACAUUUAAGUGCUCAUAUGAAAAGCAAAGCACGUGGGAUGGGCUUAAAUUAUAGAAAAGAAAGUGUGGGAUGGAUUUCUGGAAACAUUGAAUGGCUUUUAAUGUUUUUGCCUGGGGGAAGUUUUUAAAAAUUCUUUUUAAAGUUUCAUACAUAUGUAUAAUGCAUUGUGAUUAUAUCCAAACUCCUCCCCCUUUACCCUUCUCCUCUUUCUUAACAUCUUUUUCCUAUUUCAUGUCUUGUUCUCUCUCUCUGUCUCUGCCUCCUCCUCCUUCUCCUCUCUACACUGAGUUUAAUUACACUUCCUUUUGUAAUUGGGUAAGGAGUCUUGCAUAAGGAAUUACUCAAAAUAUUCAGGCAAGAACCACUGUUUAUACCUCUUAAGAAAAUGGCACCCCUUUCCUUGGCUACUCUUUCCCUGUCAAAAGCUCUUCCAUGAGGAGUAAUGCCUCAUCGGUGGCUUCCCAAACCAUGAUGGGGCAUGGCUGUUUUAGUCAGAGAAAUGGGAUGCUUGCUGAAACCUCUCAUCUAGCCAUUGGUGACCAUCCUUUCAUGUGGACUUGUGUUGAGCAUUGAGCCUGGCACAGACUUGGGGCCUGGAUUGCUGGCUUUUAGAAGUAUGAAAGGACAGAUUUCAGUUAUUUUUAACCAUUAAUUAUGUGAUAAUUUGCUAUACCAGCCACAGAAAACUAAUAUAGACUUCAUCUGGCAUAUUCUUCAAGCCGUUUUAAGAGUGAUCAAAUGAGGCAUUUAUGUAAAAUACAAAGUACAAGUGAUUUAAAAGAGCUUCCAUGGGCUUCUCGAAAGAAUUCUCUGGCCUCUGCCCCCCUUUCUCAUACGUGACCAUCUGGUAUAACUAAUACAUUUAUCAAGAUCAGAAUUCCUUACUUCCCCACAGACUACGUGUUCCGGCACACAGUUUCUUUGAAGUUGCAGCAACCACUGUCUGUCAAGUUCUUGGAGGCAGGGCCAUCACUGUAGCUUUUGAUGCCAUGUGAAGUUCUGCUUGGCCUUCCGUCCUCUAAGGACAGGUGAACUGAGGGUACCAUCUCACUCCCCUGCCCUCAUUUGCAUCUGAAACACAUACCCACUGCGACACUGUUUUCCCCCGUCCCCAUCCAUUCAACAAUUAAGCUACAAUAAAUUUAGGUUUUAGGAAAAAAAUAUGUUGAUAUGUUUCAAAAGUGCAAAUGAUACAAAAAGUUGCUUGUUGUGGUUUGAGUGUGGAAUAUUUCCUGUCCAGGUAAACCGUAUCUCCUCGAAAUAAAAGCCAGAUAAGCCUUCUCCCUCUCAGUGACUUCUUUUUUUUUUUAAAAAAGAUUUAUUUAUUUAUUUAUUUAUUUAUUUAUUUAUUAUAUGUAAGUACACUGUAGCUGUCUUCAGACGCACCAGAAGAGGGCAUCAGAUCUCAUUACGGGUGGUUGUGAGCCACCAUGUGGUUGCUGGGAUUUGAACUUCGGACCUUCGGAAGAGCAGUCGGGUGCUCUUACCCACUGAGCCAUCUCAUUCUUGUCAAGGACUCGGUGGCACACAACAGUGGCAGAAGCAGUACAAUAUUCAUGGAGAACCCUUGGUCCCAUUCCAAAUCCUUUCUUUGCAGUUAUCCAUUUAUAAAAUUCGAAAAAAUGGUUCCAUUGCUUCUUUCUGAAAAUAUACACAAUUUCUUACAGAAGACAGUGCAAGUAGAUAGUGUGUCUAUACCUACCUAUGUACCAUGAAUCACUUGAUUGCAGUCAUGAGCCAAGGACCCAGUUAAGCUAUGCUUACCCUCCUGACCAAUUGGAACUCAAAGCUAAUAGAUGCAUGCUUCAUAAGAAUAUUAAGCUCAUGAUAAUUAUUCAAGAAUAGGAAAUUGAAACGGCAAUCAAUCAUAUUGGUGAAAUACAAAUAUACAAAGUAUACACCAAGUAUGUUUUCUUUCAAGAUGUCCUUUCAUAGUUAUAAAAAUAUAUUUUGUUAUUUUUCUUUUAAUUUCUAGAUUUUCUUCAUUGAGUGACCCCCUUGCUCUUGUAGGAACUACAUAUAUUUGCUUCGCAUUUUUCCUUAUGGUAUUUUGAGUGCAAGGUUAAUUAAUCUUAUGUGACUUAAUCUAGCAACCUUUUUCUCUUAUCAGUUUCUCAUUUCUGUUCAUUGCUCUUAGGCUCUCUUUUAAGUUUCUGAGGGAAUUCAACUAUCCUGUGAUUUCCUUUACAUCUAAAUAUUCUAAAGCCCUAUAGAGAUGUCCUUUGAUAGAAUGCACGAAUAUAAACACAUCUAUUUCACAUGACUGUUCUGUUACCCCUACACUAUAUAAUAGAAUAUACAUUGAAACCAAUAAUUCAUAAAACACAUGUUGGUUUAUAAGAUCAAUUUUUAGAGAUUUCCCAGUUACUAUUUUUAGUAAGUUAUCAUUAUUAUUUUUAAAAUUAGCUUAUAUAUUUUCGACCAAGGUUCUUUUUUCAAUUUUCUUAUUGGGAUUGUUUAUGAAUUAAUUUUAUGAGGUUGCAUAAGAAAAAUUGGUGUCUUCACUGUGCUUUUUGUAACUGGCAAACACAGUAAGUCUUUUCAUUUAUUCAAAGACUUUGAAUUGUUCAGAAAUAUAUACUCAUCUUUUAUUUGUUUUGAAGACUCCUUAUUAGUUUUAUUUCCAGAUAAUCUUAUCCCUUUUAUAGGUAUUGUUAUUGCUACUAUAAAUAGGUCUUUCUAUUAUGUUUUAAUAGUAGUGUUACUCAUACAUACUAGAAAUAUUGUUUUCUGUACAUGUUAUGUAUGUGCAUAUUACCAUCUAGAAUAUUGAAGAUGUCUACCAUAGAAUGGGCUCUGAACCAGCAGUGAGGUUAGUCAUAGGGCUUGCCUCAGUUAGAUAAUGGCUUAGGACAGAGCCAAAUAGUAAAUACGGAAACUCAACCAGUAAUUGUUCUUUCUAGUGAAGGCUCUGAACAAAAUGAAACAUGUUUAGUAAUAUAGCAUCAUUACAUGUGCCUAUCGACUCAAAUUAUGAAGAUUCUGAAAGCUUGAAAAUGUCAUGCUUUAUUCAUGAACAGGUUCCAAAGGUCAAGCAAAUGACUGGGAAACAAAACUGAGUAUUACUGAGUUUUCGGUGAGCUUCAGACUAACAGUGCUUUGAGUUCAUUUGUUACUAUGGUUAUGUACCCCAUAGGUUUUGUUGUUGUUGUUGUUGUUGUUUUUUCUGAGUAAGUCCACUAUGUGCAUGCAGUGCCUCAAGAUGUCAGAAGGGGGUGUGAGUCCCACCAAAGUUGAAUUAUAGAAAAUGGCAAGCUGCCACAUGGAUAGUGGAAAUCAAACCAGAGCCCUCUGAACAAGCUACAAGGUUUUAACUGCUCAGCCACCCAGAAGCUUCCCAAAAUUUCCGAUGAACUUAAACACUGCAUUUCCAUUGAUAUGUUAUCACAACACUGGUCGAUGGAGUUUCUGGAAAAUGGCAGUCAUAACUUUCAUCCGGAGAGCAUCCUUGCAUAUCUCAACUCAUGAACAAGACCUUUGAUCUCCCGAAACUACAUCUUCCUGGUAUGGUGUUACCCACCUGCAGGCCGCUCAGUCUUCACAAGGGAGUCUUUUCCAGGAUCCUGUUUGCUUCUAUCCUAGGUCUCCAGGCUUCAUAGCCUUUGGUAACUUCUUUCCUUAGCCCUCUGGUGGUAACACAUGGAGCAAAGUGAAAGAUGUUCCCAGUCGGGGUCUGCAGCUGCAGGAGGGCACAUAAGAAUUCAUCUCGCGAUGUCAUCCACUCAAGGGCACGAGCUUCCAAGUCUCCUUGGGAUUCCAUUGCUGUGAAGAGACAACAUAACCACCGCAACUCUUAUAAAAGAAAGCAUUGAAUUGAGGAUGGCUUACAGUUCAGAGGUUCAGACCAUUGUCAUCAUGUUGGGGAAGCAUGGGAACAUGCAGGCGGACAUGGAGCUGGGGAGUAGCUGAGUGUUCUACAUCGGGAUCAGCAGGCAACAGGGACAGUAAGAGGUGUCAAGAUGGUACUCAACUGUAAGAAGUGGGAGAGGAGGAAAGAGAGCCCUUCACGUGUGUCAAGAGAGUAUUCAAGGGGAGAGAAAAAUUACUGGAGAUCCCUACCCUAGGAGUCAGCUUUCAUCAAGGAAGAAACUCCUCUCCUAAGCCACUUCUAGCUGCUGCAGUGCUGUGACUUGACCUGUCUGCGAACGUCACAAGGAGAGACUGAACAAGAAGUGUGUGAACGGAAUGAGAGGUUUGUUAAUUCCUGCAAGUUGGUCACUGUGGUGGACACCUGCAUCAAUGAACCAUCUUGUGCCCUGUCUAUAUAUAGUCCAUCGCUGGCAUUUGAUGGCAGACUUGACUUCUAAUUGACAUGCAGAUAUGAUACCCUGGUAGGAGAAACUAUAUCUUCAAACUGAAUUCUGAGCUUCUCCCGCCAAUGUGCAGUUGUCAAAUCGGGUGCUGAACUUUGCCUCCCCUAUCCCCUUCAGGCCAGAGUGUUAUAGAGCUUUUAAGCCUGAAAACCACAGACAUCUGUGCUAAGCUGUAGUUACAUUUUUCUACCAGUCAGGAUUCAGGGCUAGGGGCCUUCACUGGGAACAUUUCUCUGUGUGGCACAUUUAUCCUGUUCUCAUUGGUUGGUUGAUACCGCUGUGGAGGGGAGACUUGCCUAGUAUUCCUAUGUCUGCCAAGGAGGAUGUCAGCUACAGCAGGGGGGUCUUGGGAACUUAAAUUUUAUUUGACCCCUAUUCAAAAUGGAAGUUUUAUUCAAAAUGGCUUCAUCUUGGUUCCUUCUUACACAGUAUCACACGGUAAGGGCGAGCUUCUGUUCCUAGUGUACCAGUCAUGUGAACGCAGGCAAAAGAAGCUGACACAGUAGACAUGGCUUCAGUCUUGAGGUGGUUUCACCAUUUUCCAAUUAUCUGAUGGUGUGAAGGUUGCACUUUAUUUUUACCCACAGUAAACAUAUGCUAAUGAUGAGCACAGAGACUUAUUGAAUAAACAACCUCUUGUGUAGUAUCCAAUAAUGUAAUGAGGUAGUCAACAUUUUUAUGUUCUAAAAUAGCCUUUGUGUUAGCGGUCUCAGCCCAAACCUCAGGCUUCUUUGAGUUGCGUGCACAUGAGCGGUGAUGGUUGAUAGCGUAGGUAUGUUAAAUAUGUCUUUGAUUUAGGAAGUAUUCAACUUGUGAUGGAUGUUUCAGGACAUAGCCAUUGUAUGUAAGUUGUGAGACGGGUAUACGCAACUGCUGUCUACCAAUUAAAUAAAAGUAAAACAAAACCUUAAAUAUGAAGUUGUGUCCCAUUGAAAUGUCAGCUAAUUUAAAAUCAAUCAAUCAAUCAAUCAAUCAGUCAGUUGGUCAAUCAACCAGUCAG